GAGAGGUGAGUGAGAGAGGAGUGAGAGGAGAGAGGAGUGAGAGGAGUGAGAGAGGAGUGAGAAGUGAGAGAGGAGUGAGAGGAGAGAGGAGAGAGAGGAGUGAGAGAGGAGUGAGAGGAGUGAGAGAGGAGUGAGACAGGAGUGAGGUGAGUGAGUGGCCUGAGCGCUCAUGCUGUCUGUAGUGGGCGUGACCUGAGCGUCCCUGUUGUGUCUAGUGGGCGUGGUCUGAACACUCCUGUUGUGUCUAGUGGGCGUGGCCUGUCCAGUGCUUUUAGCUCUGAUGAGAGUGUACUCGGCAUGAUGCGGCGUACAGCACACGCUGCACUACACUACACCUUUACUUUGGUUUAAAUACAUUUCCUUCCCUGAUAUCAGCUGUUAGGUUUACAUUACGUUCCAGUAGGCGUAUUAGCUUGCUAGCAGAUUAGCAGCACAAGCUAACUGUACUAGCUACGUACACUCACAACACACACCUCUGCUACUUCCUUCCCAGCUUUCUUUCCCCCCUGAUACGACAGGAGAAGAUGAAACCACGCUGAAGCGGUUUCUUCCAGUUUUGUGGGAACUAACUGCUGUAGAUGAAGCUGUGAGCGCGGAAGUGAAGGAACGUCGCAGCACACACACACAUGCACUGUAUCACAACUCCGUAUCUAGGAAAAAAUACAAAAAGUAGUUUUGGAGAUAUUCUUGGAAAACAAUUCAAUUAUUUUGCUGAUUAAUCCCACACUAGUAUUGUGUUUGUCCAAUUCAAUCAACCCGAGAAGGUAUAUGCUCCGCCCCUGGGGGGCGUGUCUUGCUCUACAGUAGCAGCUUGUUAGCAGUAAACACGAUUCAUCUCUGUGCUUUUGAGGUUUUUGCGGCUGCUGAUUGGUCGACUGCUACGACACCCAUUACACCUAAACCCAUGUCCAGUACAGCAUUAAUACUCUUUCUUUCCUUCUUUCUUUUUAUUGAAAUACUAAAAGAACAGAGUUAAUGACAAUUAUAUGAAAGAAAAAGAAAGAAAGAAACAAUACAGUCAGAGAGAGAAAAAUAUAGAAAAGAGAGACUGAGAGAGAGAAUGAGGUGGAAAAAAGAAAAAGAAGAAAGAAACGAUUAAAGGAAAAGUGAGAUACAGGGAAAGAGAAAAAAGGGAUGUAAAAACUAAACAAGGAAAGAAAGAUGAGUCAGUGAAGAGAAAAAGAACGAGUGAAAAAGGAAGAAUGAGGGACAGAAGGGAAGUAGGAAGAAAAAAAGAAAAGAGAAUGACAGCCAUGAGAGAGAGAGAGAGAGAGAGAGAGAGAGAGAGAGAGAGAGAGAGAUAGAGACAGUAGGAAAGAGAAUGAGAAAUAUUUAGACAAGAGAGGACAAGAGAAAGACCAACUCAAGGAAAAUAAAAAGAAAAGAAAGAAGGGAAUAAAAAAGAGAGUGUACACAAAAAGAGAGAAAAGCAGAGCAUAAGAGAGUAGGACUUCUUGAGAGAGAGACAGAGAGAGAGAGAGAGAGAGAGAGAGAAGGAAAGUUGUGAUAGCAAGACAAACAUGUACAAAGAAAGAAAGAAAAAGAAUAAUGAUAGUCAUAGAAGCAGAGGGAGUGAGGGAGAGAGAGAGGACAGAUGGGAGAAAGAAGGGAAUAAACAAAAAGAGAGAGAGUGAGAUUAAAGUGGGGAGGGGCAGUGGGGGGGGGGGGGCGUGAUGGUUAGACGGUUCAGUAAUCAGACAGACAGGUAGCCUCACUGAGACCAGCUUAAUGAAGAGCAAGUCCACUCAGCUGUGUGUUCUCUGACCCCAACACACACACACGCACACACACGCACACACACACACACACACACACACACACACACACACACACACACACACACACACACACACUGCUGAUUUGAUCUUGUGGCUCAGCUCGGUGUUAACUGGAAAACUCUGAGGAAAUCUCUCCUCAGUGUCUCAGGAGAGUUUACAUUAAAGCGGCGGUUAGCAACAUCGCUAGGCUGCUUUAACGUGUUUUUUAGCUGUGUAAUGAUGCACUCUGGAACAGUGUUAAUGUUGUUAGCAUUGUGCUGCACAUUGUAUUAAUGGGAUCUGUCGGCAUUGUACCGGCUAAUUUAUGCUAGCACAGGUAUGGUAGUGCUAACAGCAGGAACCACUGGAGCAGGCUACAACUGUAAAUACACUAACAAACACACAACAUGGGGUCAUGGUACAAUUCCUCAGCUCGCCAUCCACCUGGCCACGCCCCUCAGUUCUCUGUAUAUUUAUCCACCUGGCCACGCCCCUCAGGUCUCUGUAUAUUUAUCCACCUGGCCACGCCCCUCAGUUCUCUGUAUAUUUAUCCACCAGGCCCCACCCCCUCAGUUCUCUGUAUAUUUAUCCACCAGGCCCCACCCCCUCAGGUCUCUGUAUAUUUAUCCACCCAGCCACGCCCCUCAGUUCUCUGUAUAUUUAUCCACCAGGCCCCACCCCCUCAGGUCUCUGUAUAUUUAUCCACCCGGCCACGCCCCUCAGUUCUCUGUAUAUUUAUCCACCUGGCCACGCCCCUCAGUUCUCUGUAUAUUUAUCCACCUGGCCCCACCCCCUCAGUUCUCUGUAUAUUUAUCCACCUGGCCACGCCCCUCAGUUCUCUGUAUAUUUAUCCACCUGGCCACGCCCCUCAGGUCUCUGUAUAUUUAUCCACCUGGCCCCACCCCCUCAGUUCUCUGUAUAUUUAUCCACCUGGCUAUGCCCCUCAGGUCUCUGUAUAUUUAUCCACCUGGCCACGCCCCUCAGUUCUCUGUAUAUUUAUCCACCUGGCCACGCCCCUCAGUUCUCUGUAUAUUUAUCCACCUGGCCCCACCCCCUCAGGUCUCUGUAUAUUUAUCCACCAGGCCCCACCCCCUCAGUUCUCUGUAUAUUUAUCCACCUGGCCCCUCCCCCUCAACUCUUUAGCUAUUGAUUUGGCUCCUCCCCCUCAGCUACAAUUUUUUAAAGAAUGUUAAACAAGCAAAUAUCUGGUUUUCACAUUUUACAGAGAAACUCCUGAGAUGGCAACAGACACACCACAAAUCACACCCACACACACAGAAAAUCAUUUACUGUCGGCCACACCCUGUGUGUGUAUGUGUAGUUCAGACAGGUAUCUGGAGCUUGCCCAGCUGUAGCAGCUUGGUGCAAACCAUCGUGGGUACACACAGCAGAGUGGUGUUUCCACGGCAAUACCAAUCCGCAAACGACGAGCAGCCGAACCGAGCGCUGUGUGUGUGUUUGUGUGUGUGUGAGUGUGUCUGUGUCUCUGUGUGUCUGUGAGUGGGUGUGUGUGAAUGUGUGUGUGUGUGUGUGUGUGUGUUGUUAGCGAUAUUAGGCUUUAAUGUUUAUAUUUCUAGAAGUUUUGUGGAGUUGUUGAGGAGACUGAAGGUGAAGGUGUUAAAGGUGAAAUCAGCUGGUAAUUUCAUAACACACACAGUGGGAGCUGCAUUUGAUUUAAAACAAUAUACACUCAGUAGAUGUUAAUUACAUUUAUAACUCAGCUCAGGGACAGAGAAAUCAAAUCCAACACACACACACACACACACACACACACACACACACACACACACACACACACACACACACGUGUUUAAAGCUGCACACACUGUGCUGUAAAAUUAAGUGUCGUUCAACAUAACAUUUUAUUCUCAGAUGUUUUUGCUUUAUUGUGUUACUUUUUAAGGAAGAAAGGGGGAGAUGGAGAGGAUGCACAGGAGAAAGAGAAAGAGAGACAUUAAACGAGUGUGAAUUCUCGAGAGAGAAGAAAAGGUGUACACAGAGAAAUAAAGGAAGAGAAAGGACAAUAAAAGGAAGGAAGAAAAGAGAUGACCAUCAUAGAAGGAGAGAGAGAAAGCGAAAGGUAGGGUGAGAGAGACAGGCAGACAGACAGACAGACAGACAGACAGGCAGGAAGGCAGACAGACAGACAGGCAGGCAGGCAGGAAGGCAGGCAGACAGACAGACAGACAGACAGACAGACAGACAGACAGA